rnacentral:rRNA from 1 species
GACGAACGCUGGCGGCGUGCUUAACACAUGCAAGUCGAACGGAAAGGCCCUGCUUUUGUGGGGCGCUCGAGUGGCGAACGGGUGAGUAACACGUGAGUAACCUGCCCUUGACUUUGGGAUAACUUCAGGAAACUGGGGCUAAUACCGGAUAGGAGCUCCUGCUGCAUGGUGGGGGUUGGAAAGUUUCGGCGGUUGGGGAUGGACUCGCGGCUUAUCAGCUUGUUGGUGGGGUAGUGGCUUACCAAGGCUUUGACGGGUAGCCGGCCUGAGAGGGUGACCGGCCACAGUGGGACUGAGAUACGGCCCAGACUCCUACGGGAGGCAGCAGUGGGGAAUAUUGCACAAUGGGCGGAAGCCUGAUGCAGCAACGCCGCGUGCGGGAUGACGGCCUUCGGGUUGUAAACCGCGUUCGCCUGUGACGAAGCGUGAGUGACGGUAAUGGGUAAAGAAGCACCGGCUAACUACGUG